GGAUGAAGGCCUCUGGGCUGUAAACCUCUUUUAUCAAGGAAGAAGAUCUGACGGUACUUGAUGAAUAAGCCACGGCUAAUUCCGUGCCAGCAGCCGCGGUAAUACGGGAGUGGCAAGCGUUAUCCGGAAUUAUUGGGCGUAAAGCGUCCGCAGGCGGUCUUGUAAGUCUGUCGUUAAAGCGUGGAGCUUAACUCCAUUUCGGCGGUGGAAACUACAAGACUAGAGUGUGGUAGGGGCAGAGGGAAUUCCCGGUGUAGCGGUGAAAUGCGUAGAUAUCGGGAAGAACACCAGUGGCGAAGGCGCUCUGCUGGGCCAUAACUGACGCUCAUGGACGAAAGCCAGGGGAGCGAAAGGGAUUAGAUACCCCUGUAGUCCUGGCCGUAAACGAUGAACACUAGGUGUCGGGGGAAUCGACCCCCUCGGUGUCGUAGCCAACGCGUUAAGUGUUCCGCCUGGGGAGUACGCACGCAAGUGUG
rnacentral:rRNA from 1 species